rnacentral:miRNA from 12 species
CGUUAUUUUCUUUAUUGCACAGAGAAUUGACUUCGGUGCCGACUGGAAGCUCAUAACAGUGCAUAUUGGAGCCAAUGAUCUGUGCAACUAUUGCAAAGACCC